rnacentral:rRNA from 1 species
AGACACUGGGACUGAGACGGCCCAGACUCCUACGGGAGGCAGCAGGAAUUUUGGACAAUGGGGGCAACCCUGGUCCAGCAAUGCCGCGUGUGUGAAGGCCUUCGGGUUGUAAAGCACUUUUGUCCGGAAAGAAAUCGCACUGGUUAAUACCUGGUGUGGAUGACGGCCGGAAGAAUAAGGACCGGCUAACUACGUGCCAGCAGCCCCGGUAAUACGUAGGGUCCAAGCGUUAAUGAAUUACUGGGCGUAAAGCGUGCGCAGGCGGUUGUGCAAGACCGAUGUGAAAUCCGGGCACCUGGGAAUUGCAUUGGUGACUGCACGGCUAGAGUGUGUCAGAGGGAGGUAGAAUUCCACGUGGUGAAAUGCGUAGAGAUGAGGAAUACCGAUGGCGAAGGCAGCCUCCUGGGAACACUGACGUCAUGCACAGCGUGGGGAGCAAACAGGAUUAGAUACCCUGGUAGUCCACGCCCUAAACGAUGUCAACUAGUUGUUGGGGAUUCAUUUCCUUAGACGUAGCUAACGCGUGAAGUUCCGCCUGGGGAGUACGGUCGCAAGAUUAAAACUCAAAGGUUGACGACCCGCACAAGCGGUGGAUGAUGUGGAUUAAUUCGAUGCAACGAAACCUUACCUACCCUUGACAUGCCAAACGAAGCAGAGAUGCAUUAGGUGCUCGAAAGAGAAAGUGGACACAGGUGCUGCAUCUGUCGUCAGCUCGUGUCGUGAUGUUGGGUUAAGUCCCGCAACGAGCGCACCCUUGUCUCUAGUUGCUACGAAAGGGCACUCUAGAGAG